rnacentral:ncRNA from 2 species
UUCUUUGCUGUUUAAAAGGGAAUCCGGUUGGAAUCCGGAACAGUGCCCGCUACUGUGAACCCUGUGUGUAGAAAAGCGUCUUACACCACUGUCCGGAUGUAAGGAUGGGAAGGUUGCUUUUCUGGGGUAAGUCAGGAGACCUGCCAUGAUUGUA